CUUCCAGUAGCACCUUAGAGACCAACUAAGUUUGUUAUUGGUAUGAGCUUUCAUGUGCACAGACACUUCUUCAUGCACACACAAGCUCAUACCAAUAACAAACUUAGUUGGUCUCUAAGGUGCUACUGGAAG